CCUAAUGUGGCAGAUAAUUGCAUUAAAUUUAGAAUUUAAAUACACCUUC
rnacentral:tRNA from 1 species